rnacentral:tRNA from 1 species
ACCUGGGUGGCUAAGUCGGUUAAGCAUCUGACUUCGGCUCAGGUCAUGAUCUCACAGUUUGUGGGUUCGAGCCCUGCACUGGGCU